UACGAAGGGGGCUAGCGUUGCUCGGAAUGACUGGGCGUAAAGGGCGCGUAGGCGGAUUGCUUUGUCAGACGUGAAAUUCCAGGGCUCAACCUUGGGGCUGCGUUUGAGACGGGUGAUCUUGAGUUCGGAAGAGGGUCGUGGAAUUCCCAGUGUAGAGGUGAAAUUCGUAGAUAUUGGGAAGAACACCGGUGGCGAAGGCGGCGACCUGGUCCGAGACUGACGCUGAGGCGCGAAAGCGUGGGGAGCAAACAGG
rnacentral:rRNA from 1 species